AUCAAAUCAAAGCUUCAUUACAGGCUAGGCCUUUAAACUGUGAGGUUUGUGCUGAAUUCCAAGUUUAUCUUUUCUUCUAUUACAUCUAUUCUCUCUGAGCACCAAUAUGCUUACAGUAUGCACCAUGCGGUGCGCUAUUUAUAUUUCAUAUCAUAACGUUUCUCUGCAUUUGUAAUUUUUUACAUGAUUUCCAGUAUUUUAGUUUGACCACCAAGGCAACAGCAUGCAUUUCGGGGCACGCUCCUUAAAUGCGUAUUACCCUGCCACACACGCUGUGCUUCCAGGGUGUCCUUCUGAGAGCUCCUUCAGUGUCCGAGAGGAGCUGGGAGAACUCUGGCAGGGAAGGUCCGGGGCAGGCUCCCUGUUUCCCGCUGAUGUAAAGAGCCCCCCUCCCCGCCCCCAUCGGCCCUGGCUAUUGCCCCUUCCCCGGUGCCGGCGGCCCCGAUGCCCCAGCCCCGCGCUGCAGGGUAGCCGACGGUGGCUGGGAGGAGGAGCAGAGCCCCGGACGGGCCGCCGCCUCCCCGGGGCGACACGUGGCUCCGGCGGGUCCCGGGGCUGGCGGAUGCUGCAGUGCCGUCCCGGUGGGGUUCCUCUGCUAGUCUGCGGCGGAGGAGCUUUCACAGCAUCCUUUUUUUUCCCCUUUCCUUUUUUCCUUUCUCUCCCCCCUAUCCGUCCAAGUUUUCUUUUACAAAAAACCAAACUUUUUUCUUCUUUAUUUUUUUUUCCCCUUGCAAGAGCCACGCUGUGGAAAGACGGCGUGGUGGAGGAGGGAGAAACCCCUCCCCUUCCCCUCCCCCCGUGGCUCCUUCCUCGGAAAAGAAACAUUUUGGGGGUUUCCUCCCCUCCUACCUCUCCCCUCCCUUCUGUGCCGCUCCGCUCCUCGGAGCCGAAGCCGCCGCCGCGGCGCCCGCCCGCCCCGCGGCCGAGGAGGGCCCGGCGGGGCAGCCACGCCGCCCCCGGUAAGCCGCGCACCGGCCCCUCGGUGAGCACAGGGGCCGGGGGGGGGAUGCGGAGCGCGGCGGGGAGCGGGGCCGCCUCCGUUUGGCUUCGGGGCGGGAGAGCGGCGGGGGCCGGGCCCGGCAGCGCCGCUGUCGCCCCGGCACUGAGCGCUCGCUCGCACCGGAGGCAGCGCCGCCCGCCCGUGGCCCCGGAGGUGCCGAGAGUAAGUUGCGCUGCGUUAACUGGGAACGGCCUUUUUGGGGGUCGGGCUGCGAGGAGUCUGUCUGUCCGUCCGUCUGCCUGUCUGCUCCGAUCCCCCCUUGGCUUGCCAGGGGAUGCAGCCCCCGCUGAUUUGGCUCCUGGGGGCGUCGGGGCCGCUCUUGGCCGGGACGAAGGAGCGUGUUGGGGCUUGGGGGGCUUUUCCCGAGGAGUCGAGGGAGAUUUGGGGUGCUGGCAUUUCACUACCGGUCUUGAAGGGAGCCAUGUGCUGUACUGGGGUGGCGGCGGGGUGCUGGGAGCAGCCUGGGAGGCUCCAUGGGGACUGUCCUCCUGUCAAGGUGUUCUUCACAGCGUCAGGGCAGGCAGAUGUUUCUUUUUAAAGUGAAACCUGCAAAUUAUGUAAUGCCUUAGAUAGGUCUGUAGGGAAGCAGCCGCACAGGUCCGGGUAACUUGAUCUUCACAGCACUUCUCUCACAUAAAGCACUGGAGAAGCGAUGCUCAGAGUGUUACACUUAGGCUUAGCUGGAAAAGGGAGCUGCCUGCCAGAAGUGAAGGCGUUGCAGGGAAGAGGGGUAGCUGUGAACCGGGGGUGUACUUGCCCGUUUGGGGUUGCCUCGAAGGGCGGAGAAACUCGCCAUCCUCCAGACCUGGCACAGUCAGAACGCAGCCUCACACCUGCCGUUUCUCAGAAGAUCGGUGCUGUGCGCCCAUGAAAAGCCUCAUCGCAAAGGUUAUCGCUAAAUCCUCCUUCUUUAUGCAAUCUGAGUCAUGGUGCUCACAGCCAUGCAGGAUCCGCUACUCACUUUUUCCCACAAACGCACGCGCUGUUACUGAGAAUUUUGGAAUGGUUACCACGUAAAACCUCAGCUCAUGCUUCUCUUGGGUUUUGGUUGGUUUUUUUUUUUUCCCUUUUUUAAAAAUUUAGUUCAAGUGUAUAUUACUUCUUGCUUAAUAGAAGCUUGGAAACAGGAUUUGGAUGAAUCCCAGAGGUAGCUGAGAAGAACUCAAGAAUGCUAAGUUAAUGUGCCUGGCUUUUUUCUUCUCCUUCAUGGUGAAGAAGGGGGAUGUGGCUUGACCAUUGUUCUGGAAAGUUGAGGGUAAAGAGUAUUGUUAGUAAGCUUCUAUUUAGGACUAUGUGGUCCAGACAGUGCCAUUUACUAGUUCUAGUCCUUGCAGCUCUCAGAGAAUUUAAAUGAAAAACCCAGUCACAUGUUGACCAUACUCAACUCUGUAAAAUGGGGUGGAAUCAGAAAUAACUAGUUUCCUGAUGUUUCAUUCUCUACUGACUGUGUCUUUAAGAAGGUAUGCAAGCAUAUCUUCUUUCUCCAAACAACUGCAACUGCAAUUCAGAUGCUGUGUGAAUGUCAAAUGGCCCAUUCAGUCACAGCGGGGCAAUGGUCAUGUGCUUUAAAAUCAUGCACAUGCAUGCAGAAGUUUGUGAGACUGAGGCUGUAUUAUCACAUAAUGUUGCUUUUAGUUGAAUCAAGUUACGAUGAAAUGUGGCCAGUCGCUGCAGAUGAAGCCAAGCUUUGUUUCUGUGUUCAUGAGUGAUUCUGCUGGGCAUGUGAUUUAAAACAUAGUUGUUGAAGUAUGGAUUCUUGUUCCCUUCAGAGGGGAAGGCUCUUGGGCACAAACCCACAGGAUUACUGGGAUGCCAGCCUCCCACACAGGUUCCCAUCUUUUCCUGAGUUAAACUGGGAUCGGGGCCUUUGUUAUUUCUGUGCUCCUUUUUAAUAUUCUGUAUGUUGCAUGUCCUUUAAUAACCUGGCUUAUCACUUACUUAAACGUAGUGGGGUUGAGUGGCAACACAGGGGUUUCUGUAAGAUUGUGUUGGAAGGCACAGGUAAACUGUGCUAGAGUCCCCAAAAAUGGGCGUAGAGGAGCACUAGGGAGAGACUGAGCUUCUUCAGAUCCUUCCAGGUGUAUGUCUCUGUCCCCAGUGUGCCUCCUCAGAGAGGGCCAACUUCAGUUUCCAGAUGGCAGCUUCAAACAUGCAGCCAGUGCCUCUUACCGUCCUCAGUCCAGCUGGGAUUUCUGUGAAGUUGGUGGUCGGUUUGCGCAAGGAUAGAGCUGGGGUUGGGUGGUGUAAAUUCUUAAUUGCUGUCACUAAUACUGUGGUUGCAUUGCUGAGAAACAAAGGAGAAAAUGUGCCUUUAGAGCUGUGUUUUUUCCCUUGUUUCUCUUUUUCUCUGUCCCCACUGGGAAUGUUUUGCUCUUUUCUCCUAGUCUUUCCCUGCCGCUCCUUGCCACCCGCUCUCCCCUUGCCACCCACAGGCUUCUCUGUCCUGAUUUCUCCAGCCUUGGUUUGGUCAGCAAUAAAGAGAUAGUGCCAAUACUUAAAUAUGACAUCAUUUGGUUCGGGUUGAUACUGUGGUUAGAUUAAUAAAAGCUGUGGGGAGGUGGUGUGUUCCUGAGCUGUUAUUCCAGGCCGCUGCAGACCUCAGCUAGUGCUGCUUGCCAAAAGCUCACAAGAUGGGAGAGGAAGGCACAUGCAUCUCUGUAACUUAAGAUGUGGAUGGUGUGAGAGCUGAGUAAGCCAUACAGGAACCAUAUCUUUUUAGAGAGUAAAGGUGUUAAGCAUGUAUGUCAUUAGGAGGCAUAUUUAUUUAAAAUAAUGCAACUAAAUGCUACAUUAAUUAGAUCCUUGAUUACGUGUAAGUAGAGGCAGAGGCAGGUAUGAUAGCAACUUAGCCCCUUUUAUCCUGGCAGUCUACUUCAUUAUAACCUACUCUUCUGGUUUGCAUUUGUGCAUAUCCUGCAUCCUGCCUCAGUAAGGUAUUUAUUAGCUCACCAUUUUGCUGAAAUCAGUCUCAACCUUUAAAAAAAAAAGGUACAGUGCUGUUUGAUGUAGCAGGAUUCGGUGACUUUGUGUUAGUGAGUGUUCAAAAGGACGAGUAGAAUUCUUCCCCCUCGCCCCUCACCAAGUGACAGGUUUCAAGUUAAGAUUUAGAAGUGAGAGGUGUAAAAAAUCUUACUUUUUAAACUUCUAGAACUCAAUGUUUCUGCUCAAUAGGUAUUUAAUAGCGUAAAAAUGUCAAUUCAGUUUUAGUAGAAUGGUUAAAUGCUGGUUUGUAUUGUCUUUGGAGACUUCAGAGCUGCCCCUUAUUUUCAUCCUCUUCAGUGGAGAAAUGAAAAGGCCUGUGUGCACUUCACAGGAAAUGAGUGUCUGAUACAGGCUUGCAGGCUGCACAUUUCCAAGAACCGCUCUCAAGGUAUUUUGAUAAUGCACAUUCUCUCUGCCUUCUCCCUUCCUGCUCCUCCUGCACUUUGUGUGCUGCUGCUUGUUCGCAAACACAUGCAGAGUCGAGGGGAAGAACCAAGUGGUGCCACUGUUAAGUUUGCAGAUGGGCUCUUUUAGCUUUGUACUGGAGCGAUGGCUGGCAAAAUUGGGUUAAGCUGGCAGCAUUCGGUUGCCUUUGUUGCAGAGGGUUUUUGUCCUUCGCCUCACUCCCUGCAAAUGCUGAAAAAAAAUUUUGACUUCAGACUGUGACUUGUGCAAUGAGGGAGUUUUUUGUGUGUAUGUGAUUCUGCAGUUCAGAAACAGUUUGGAUCUAUCUACUUUUGUACUUCCUCAGUAGCAAAGUUUAUUUGGAAACUUAGGCUAAAGCUAAGAAAAUGAGUGUGCCUGUUAGCAGUUGGAAAAUGCCAGGGAUCUGCAAUCUGUACUGUGUCGCUGGGCUUCUGCACAUCCUGCUGGAGGUGCCUUGUUGAAGCUAAGGGGAUUCAGCAUAAGUUUGCCUCGGUUGGCACACUAGUGGUGAUGAGCACAGGUUUGAUUGUGCUGGAAUGGUUUGUUUGUGCUUUUUGACAGACCAGCAGUAUUGUUCUUUAUCCAUAUUUUAGUUCUUCCUUGUUUUCUGGUGAGGUUUUGUGGUGUGGAAGGAGAGAAGUCAGAGCUGGAGAAAACAUUUACUGCUUUAGCAGUAAAGACUGAAUUCUGCUGUUUGUGUAGGGUGCAUGCUGAUUUUCAAGUCAGCAGAUCCAUAGAAGAGAUGCUGGUUUUUUUAGUCAUCAAAGAAUGAGGGAAACACUGACAGAGCUAUUUUAACUCUGCAGCAGGUCCACAGUUGAUUCCUCAUACUGACUUCAUGUGCCCUUGUUUACUACUUCAGUUUUGCACAAAGGGCAUUUUAUGCCUUGUGCUGGGCUCCCCUUAGUGUUAUGUCAGGUUUGAAGGGUUAAGAGGUGUCUUAAAAAGGUGUUGCUCAAAAACCCAGCCCUUCGCUGCUGGAUUCCUCUGCCUAAGGCCUGCUAAAGCAUGACGUGGUGGGUACAGCAUAGAAACAAAGCAAAGACAUUUGAGAGAGAAGAGAAAUGAGACUUCUCAGAUCAGCUCUCUCACUUUCCCCAGUCUACAUGAUUGGAGUUUUUUCCUUUUAUGAGUUUUCAAAUUAGUUACUUUUCAAUCUUGGUCACCUUUGAACUUCCUCUCAUCUGGUUUUCUGAAAGAAUACAAAAAGAAUGUCCUGAUUGUACUGUAUCUUUCUCUGGCAUCCUCUUGUAUACAUAUCUGCUCUCUAAACUGAGCAAGAAAUUUCUCCGGUCUCUCUCUGUACAGUUACGUGUUGCUUCUUACUACCCAUCUUUAGGCCUACCCUGUUUGUUUCAGCUCUGUAUGUUUUUAUUUCAGGUAACUGGAACCGACUGUAUUCUCUCAGGUGGUGACAUUACUGUUAGGUUCCCAUCCAUUUUGCACCCUCCCAGUCCCGCUUGCCUCUUGGUUUUUAAAUUACUGCUUUUGCAUUCGGCGCUGGAGCUUUCCUUAAUGAGCCCUCGGCACUGUUACUCGGCUCAUUGGUCAGCUGCACCACUUAAUUUAUUGCUCUUGAAAAUAUAGACCCAGCUGGUUUUUCUACAAGCCCGCGUGCAUUUGCGUGUGUCAGGACAGAGUCUUGCCUGACCUCCUGCUGCUUUCGUGCUGACGAAUUUUGAAUGACCUCUGACUUCUCUGUCCUGCAGGGAGUGAAGUGAUUUUGUCACUGUUUACCCAGGGAGGGCGAUGGAGAGGGCUCACUACAUUUUGAGUUGGCUUCCUGGAUUUAAGUAACACGAGGCCGAGGCCGUGAGCUGCCUGCUGGGAAGCAAGGAUGGAUUUGCUCUUAAGUAAAGCUGUGCAAAAACUGGGAAGUGCUGCAUCAGAGCUUUUGAAUUUGGACCACUUCCAGUCCUGACAUUCAGAAACUGAUCCCUAUGGGUGGCAAAGACAAAGAGAUACAGGAUACAUAAAUACCUCUUAUGGGUGGGAAAUCCUCGUUACCCUUACUGUUCUUCUUGCUGUAUUGAGCGUCACUGCAACAG